UCUGACCAGCCAUGCCGCGUGCAGGAAGACGGCCCUACGGGUUGUAAACUGCUUUUAAUAGGGAGUAAAAUCAGCUACKUGUAGUUGAUUGCANGUACCUAUAGAAUAAGCAUCGGCUAACUCCGUGCCAGCWGCCGCSRGUAAUACGGARGAUGCGRGCGUUAUCCGGAUUUAUUGGGUUUAAAGGGUGCGCAGGCGGACUAAUAAGUCAGUGGUGAAAUUUACAUGCUUAACAUGUAUCGUGCCAUUGAUACUGUUAAACUAGUAUACAAAUGACGUAGCUGGAAUGUGUUAUGUANCGGUGAAAUGCAUANAUAUAACACANAACACCGAUCGUGAAGACAGGUUACGAAUUUGUUAUAGACGCUCAAGCCCGAAAKCGUGGGGAUCNAACA
rnacentral:rRNA from 1 species